rnacentral:rRNA from 1 species
AGUGAACGCUGGCGGUAGGCCUAACACAUGCAAGUCGAACGGCAGCACAGUAAGAGCUUGCUCUUACGGGUGGCGAGUGGCGGACGGGUGAGGAAUACAUCGGAAUCUACUUUUUCGUGGGGGAUAACGUAGGGAAACUUACGCUAAUACCGCAUACGACCUACGGGUGAAAGCAGGGGAUCUUCGGACCUUGCGCGGUUGAAUGAGCCGAUGUCGGAUUAGCUAGUUGGCGGGGUAAAGGCCCACCAAGGCGACGAUCCGUAGCUGGUCUGAGAGGAUGAUCAGCCACACUGGAACUGAGCCACGGUCCAGACUCCUACGGGAGGCAGCAGUGGGGAAUAUUGGACAAUGGGCGCAAGCCUGAUCCAGCCAUACCGCGUGGGUGAAGAAGGCCUUCGGGUUGUAAAGCCCUUUUGUUGGGAAAGAAAAGCAGCAGGUUAAUACCCCGCUGUUCUGACGGUACCCAAAGAAUAAGCACCGGCUAACUUCGUG